rnacentral:rRNA from 1 species
CGGCGGACGGGUGAGUAACACGUGGAUAACCUACCUAUAAGACUGGGAUAACUUCGGGAAACCGGAGCUAAUACCGGAUAAUAUAUUGAACCGCAUGUUCAAUAGUGAAAGACGGUUUUGCUGUCACUUAUAGAUGGAUCCGCGCCGCAUUAGCUAGUUGGUAAGGUAACGGCUUACCAAGGCAACGAUGCGUAGCCGACCUGAGAGGGUGAUCGGCCACACUGGAACUGAGACACGGUCCAGACUCCUACGGGAGGCAGCAGGU